UGACACGCGCCCCUCAGAAUCCUCCCCCCGCGGCUGUGUGUCCGGGGCUGCCCUUGCUGGCUCGGGCCGGCUCUGAGGAGGGGACCCUGCGUUUCCGGUGGGUUUGGGGGGUGAGCAGGGGGCAGGGUCUGACCCAAACCUGCAUGGCACCCCCUCUCCAGCCCAGGCGACCCUGCUGGCCACCGUGGUCCAUGUGGCCGCCAGUCUGCCUGGCUCAAGGGUGCUCUGGUUGUGUCUGUCCUGCUCUCUGGGCCCCCCUCAGAGAGCUUCUCUGUCCCCGGUGUGACCAGUGAGGGUCUGGCCUCCCCUUGCCCUUGUCUUGCAUCUGCUGGAAGCUGCCGAUGGUUUGGGGUCAAACCUGUGACAUCUGUCGGUCGACUGGGGCCCGGGGACAGCUGACUGGAUGUGAGAGGCUGUCUGUCGUCUGUGGGCGCGUGGAGUGGUCCCCCCUCCGCCUCUCAGCACCUGCCGCGGGGGGCCCUCCCAGGGUGUGACGUGGGUGUUUCCGCGGUCGGUUGGGGUGUCUCUGGAGAUCAGCUUUCCGCAGUGCUGUCCCCCAGCUCCGAGUGAGAGGUGCUCUUCCUCCUUGGGGUUCCUCACGGCCCCUGACGAGGGCACCUGCCCCCCCAGGAGGCCGGACGUCCAGCUGAGGGGCGUUGGGCAGCUGAGGACUGGCAAGGCUGAGCCUCCAGCGCUUCUGGGGGAAGGUCACGGCCAGGACCACUGACAGACAACCCCUGUGGGUAUGCAGUGCAGUGGAAGCAUGACAGAGGCAUCUCAACACCAGGCUCUCUGCCACUGGUGCCGGGCCGCCCCUGCAUUCUCGGGGCGGGGGGGGACACACCUGGUUAGGAGCCGGGUCCUCCCAGCGGCUGUGCUUACCGAGCAGCCAGCAGGAUCGAGGAGCUGGGCACCCGCUCUUCUGCCUCUCAUUUUCGUGGGGCAGCUGGGGAGCUCCAGGCGGGAAAGCAGCGUGGCCGCUGGUGGGCGAGUCAAGGAGUCAGAGGGCGAAGCGCAGCUGCUGCCCACUGCGGGCCCCUGGGAGCCGCGAGGAGAUGGGCCAGCGGCACUCGGGACGCCCGUGCAUCGUGUGGGGCUGCAGGUCAGGGACUGACCAGGAGCCCAGCCGGCAGGCUGACCCUUUGGAAAGAACCUCCUCUUGGGUGCACGGUGUCGCCAGCUUUCUCCUGGGGUUCGGAGGUGAUGCUGUGAGGUCGGGGCUCGGCACUCACGCCCGCAGUGGGUGGCGUCGGGAGAAGGUGGCCCGCCGGGAGCCUCCGGCCUGAACCGGGCCCGACUGAACCUGACUUUGCUGCCACGGCCACAGCUGCUCCGGGCUCUCCCUGGGAGUUCUGUGUCACCAGCUGUCCUCGAGGCAUGGACACGGGGUCAUCGUCCCACCUGCCG